UACGAAGGGUGCUAGCGUUGUUCGGAAUCACUGGGCGUAAAGGGCGCGUAGGCGGUUUUUCAAGUCAGGGGUGAAAUCCUGGAGCUCAACUCCAGAAUUGCCUUUGAAACUGUAAAACUUGAGUAUUGGAGGGGAUAGCGGAAUUCCUAAUGUAGAGGUGAAAUUCGUAGAUAUUAGGAGGAACACCGGUGGCGAAGGCGGCUAUCUGGACAAUAACUGACGCUGAGGCGCGAAAGCGUGGGGAUCAAACAGG
rnacentral:rRNA from 1 species